rnacentral:lncRNA from 1 species
AUAUUUUAAAAUUGUUUUUAUAAAAUUGUUUUUAAAAAAUAUAAAAAAAAAACUCAUUUUUUUAAAGCUAAAACAAACAGGAUCAUAUACUAUGUAUAAGAAUAAAAGGAAUAUAUAAAACCAUAGCUUAAGACACAAAAUCUAUUCAACCGACCCCACUUACAAACCAAUAAAAAAACAUGAAAAUAAAAUCACAUAAACAACAAUGAGUCAUAACAGCAAGAAAAUAAUCAAUUCA